UAUUAGCAACAAGAGAGAGAGACAAAUCGACAGGCUACCAUUUAUUUUCAAUGGGAGUGGCCAUUUGCUAGCGACAAGUGACAAGCUGCCACGAGCAA